rnacentral:rRNA from 1 species
UACAUGGGGUGCAAACGUUGCUCGGAAUUAUUGGGUGUAAAGCGCACGUAGGCGGUUCGUUAAGUCGGAUGUGAAAGCCCUCGGCCCAACUGAGGAAGUGCACCCGAAACUGGCGAGCUUGAGUACGAAAGAGGAUCGCGGAAUUCCCGGUGUAGAGGUGAAAUUCGUAGAUAUCGGGAGGAACACCGGUGGCGAAGGCGGCGAUCUGGGUCGAUACUGACGCUGAGGUGCGAAAGCGUGGGGAGCAAACAGG